rnacentral:rRNA from 1 species
GAUCCUGGCUCAGGACGAACGCUGGCGGCGCGCCUAACACAUGCAAGUCGAACGGAGCUUAGAGAGCUUGCUUUUUUAAGCUUAGUGGCGAACGGGUGAGUAACGCGUGAGUAACCUGCCCUAGAGUGGGGGACAACAGUUGGAAACGACUGCUAAUACCGCAUAAGCCCACGGUACCGCAUGGUACCUGAGGGAAAAGGAUUUAUUCGCUUUAGGAUGGACUCGCGUCCAAUUAGCUAGUUGGUGAGGUAACGG